UCCCUAAUAGCUCAGCUGGUAAAGAAUCUGUCUGCAAUGCAGGAGACCCUGGUUCGGUUCCUGAUUUGGGAA
rfam:Ovis aries breed Texel chromosome 16, whole genome shotgun sequence.